GUGCCAGCAGCCGCGGUAAUACGUAGGGGCCUAGCGUUGUCCGGAAUUAUUGGGCGUAAAGAGCUCGUAGGCGGUUCGGCAAGUCGGAUGUGAAAUCUCCACGCUCAACGUGGAGGGGCCAUUCGAAACUGCCGUGACUCGAGUCCGGUAGGGGAGUGUGGAAUUCCCGGUGUAGCGGUGAAAUGCGCAGAUAUCGGGAGGAACACCAGUAGCGAAGGCGGCACUCUGGGCCGGUACUGACGCUGAGGAGCGAAAGCGUGGGGAGCGAACAGGAUUAGAUACCCUAGUAGUCC
rnacentral:rRNA from 1 species